CUGAGAAGCAGAGAUUUUGAAGAUCAAUGACCUCAGCUGCCUCAGUCCAAGUGUUGUCCCAUCUCCUGGUUGCUUCCAAGGUCCCCUCGGUGGGUUUCCAAACAUCCUUGGGCUCUGUCAGUAAGUCCUACCCCCCCCUGUUGUCUCCAGACAGAGCUUUGAUAGCUACAUAUGUCUUUUCCCCAUCUCUACUCCUCUUACAUUGGGAGGCUAGCCUGGCUUGCCUCUGAAGGUUCUAGCUUUGCUGGCAGCUGUCUUUCUUAUUUACUGGAACCUUAUGAUUGAAUUUGAAUAUGAUUCUAUGAUUGAAGUCACCUACCAUAGCUUUUCAUUGGACUUCUUUAUCAUUGUUUGAUCAGGGCUUGGUCGCUAUUGUGAGAAGGAUUGAGCAGAGCAGAGUUAUGAAGCAAACAACGGAGAUACAUCAAUUAAGGAAAAAGAGCAAUCCAACAUACUUCUGAGAACCCUGGAUCCUGGGUCAGAGAAUUCUGGCUCUGCCAAUGAAUAACGAUAUGGCAUCUGCAGAGUCUCUUCUUGGACACUACCGGCACUUUUGGGGAAGGCCUUCAUCAUCUCAUGCCUGAACUACUGAAAUAGCCUUCUGGUUGAUCUCCUUCCCUCAAGUCUUUGCUCAAAAGUCGCCAAAGAGAUCUUCCUAAAGUGCAAGCCUGACCAUGUCACUUCUCCACCCAUCCCAUACCCACCCA